AUUGAACGCUGGCGGCAUGCCUUACACAUGCAAGUCGAACGGCAGCGCGGGGGCAACCCUGGCGGCGAGUGGCGAACGGGUGAGUAAUAUAUCGGAACGUACCCAAGAGUGGGGGAUAACGUAGCGAAAGUUACGCUAAUACCGCAUACGAUCUAAGGAUGAAAGCAGGGGACCGCAAGGCCUUGUGCUCCUGGAGCGGCCGAUAUCUGAUUAGCUAGUUGGUGGGGUAAAGGCCUACCAAGGCAUCGAUCAGUAGCUGGUCUGAGAGGACGACCAGCCACACUGGGACUGAGACACGGCCCAGACUCCUACGGGAGGCAGCAGUGGGGAAUUUUGGACAAU
rnacentral:rRNA from 1 species